rnacentral:rRNA from 1 species
CCUACGGGAGGCAGCAGUGGGGAAUAUUGGGCAAUGGAGGAAACUCUGACCCAGCGACGCCGCGUGCGGGAUGAAGGCCUUCGGGUUGUAAACCGCUUUCAGUAGGGAAGAAGCGAAAGUGGCGGUACCUACAGAAGAAGCACCGGCUAACUAUGUGCCAGCAGCCGCGGUAAUACAUAGGGUGCAAGCGUUGUCCGGAAUUAUUGGGCGUAAAGAGCUCGUAGGUGGUUCGUCACGUCGGAUGUGAAAAUCUGGGGCUCAACCCCAGACCUGCAUUCGAUACGGGCGAUCUAGAGUGUGGUAGGGGAGACUGGAAUUCCUGGUGUAGCGGUGGAAUGCGCAGAUAUCAGGAGGAACACCAAUGGCGAAGGCAGGUCUCUGGGCCAUUACUGACACUGAGGAGCGAAAGCGUGGGGAGCGAACAGGAUUAGAUACCCUGGUAGUCCACGCCGUAAACGGUGGGCACUAGUUGUGGGAACCUUCCACGGUUUCUGCGACGCAGCUAACGCAUUAAGUGCCCGCCUGGGGAGUACGAUCGCAAGAUUAAAACUCAAAUGAAUUGACGG